rnacentral:rRNA from 1 species
AUUGAACGCUGGCGGCAGGCCUAACACAUGCAAGUCGAACGAGUGGCGGACGGGUGAGUAAUGUCUGGGAAACUGCCCGAUGGAGGGGGAUAACUACUGGAAACGGUAGCUAAUACCGCAUACCAUCGGAUGUGCCCAGCUGGGAUUAGCUAGUCGGUGGGGUAACGGCUCACCUAGGCGACGAUCCCUAGCUGGUCUGAGAGGAUGACCAGCCACACAGGAACAGAGACACGGUCCAGACGCCUACGGGAGGCAGCAGUGGGGAGUAUUACACAAUGGGCGCAAUCCUGAUGCAGCCAUGCCGCGUGUAUGAAGAAGGCCGUCGGGUUGUAAAGUACUUUCAGCGGGGAGGCGUUACCCGCAGAAGAAGCACCGGCUAACUCCGUGCCAGCAGCCGCGGUAAUAC